CUCAGAUCUCGGGACCAUCUGGAAGUGCACAGCUACUGUACAUGCUUAAACGUUGGGCCUAACCUUAUCAACCAUAUCAAAACACAUAUAUGACACUUAAAACAGAAAUUAAUUUGUCAGAGCAUCUGUGGAGCUUGAGAAUAGAGCUGUAGAUCUGCAGGGUGGUUUGAGUCAUGAGGAGAAGUGUGAAAUGACAUCAAGCCCUGUUACUUGCACUUUUUCUAUUUGGAUGUUACCAACGCAAUAGGGCAAACUCAACUAAGUAACACACAUGCAAUGUAGACAUGUAAAAUACACAUGAUCCCCCCUCAAACACACACACACUCAUACAUACAUACAUACACAACCUCUUACUCAUGGAAUUGUCUCUCUCUGUGAUGUGCAGGUAACGUUGAUGUGGAUACACAGGCAUUUGCAAAUGAACAUUCUGACACUUACCAUGUAUACAGCUCAAUCCCCGACAGACCAGCAACCUCAGCCCAGCCGGAUGGGUUGUACAGUCUUCUGUAGACACACUGAAACUACACCACUGGCUCUCUGUAGCUAUGUCUCACACAAAUACAUUCUUUCUCACAUGAUAUCCUUUGUUUAUCACACAUCCAGUUACUGUAAAUAAGUUGCUUAACAGGUAAUAUAUCUACUGUAUUACACAUAGACAACUGGUUUCUGCUACAUGUCUAUCCAUAAUAUCUGUUACUGUGUUCAUAUUUUUAUUUUGGGGUUUUUGGAGGGGUCCGGGGCAUACUCUCCUUUGAGCAUUUUUCUUAUUUCUUUUCCCUAGUAAAUGCUGAAUCUACUGUA